UUGCUUUGGCUGCACAUAUACUAAAAUUGGGAUGAUACAGAGAAGAUUAGAAUGGCCCCUACAUACAAAUGACACACAGAUUCAUGAAGUAUUCCAUGUUUUU
rnacentral:snRNA from 1 species